UGAGCUUUGGUCAAGCGAAGAGAC
rnacentral:siRNA from 1 species